CCUGACCUCAGGUGAUCCACCCCCUUCGGCCUCCCAAAGUUUGACCACACCCAGCCCAUAAUAGAUUUUUUAAACUCCUAUAAAUAUCAUUCUAUUUCCCCUUAUUGCUAAAAUGAGAGCUUUUUCAUCCAGUUUUUUGGGUGUGUUCCAAAUAUUUUGUUAAAUUUCCCAUCUACUGCUGUUAUUGUUUCCAUUUUAUUUGCCCAUGUGAGUUGAUACCUUUUUCAUUCCUUUCCUAUAGCUUUAGUGACGUUGUGGGAAGGGAAGUUAGGCAGCAGACAACAAAUUACCUUCUGUGACUGUAUGGCAAGGUCAGAUGCAUCAUUCCUUGCUAGGCGAAGGGAAGGUAUAAUACUUAAACUAUAUUUUUAAAAAUAAAAGUAUUCCCUUUUGAGUGUGAAUUAGGAAUCAAUGCACCUUCUCACUACUCUUGUGAAAAAAAUCACAGCUCCUGCAGCAAGUCUAUGCCUGGGUAACAACUAACCCACAAAAUCCAAGAAGAGGUCCCCCUCUCCCGCCUCUGUGAGGCCUGCGGAGCAGUAUGUAUCUGGGCCAGCCUGGUCCUCAGAGUGUGGAAUUAACACCUUUCCUCUAGCAACUGUCUGUGCUGCUAAGAACAGCACAGACUCUCUGGCAGCCUGGUUCUCUCCAGGGGGAAGCCUGUGAAGCAGAAGAAACAUAUGGCAUCUGCACUCAGGGCGCCCAGUUCCAUCCGGCCUCGCUAUAAAAUGACUUUGCCUUUCCUGUUUUAAAAUUACAAAAAUAAUUCAACCAAUACAUAAACAUAUGAAGUGAAUCACGGAGGGCCUUCCUGCAAUAUCUUUUUUUGCCUACCAUUUGUCAUGGAAUGGGUAAAGGGGACCACAGAGGGAAGAGACGCUGCCCCUUUGCAGGGCCAUGGCAGUCCCCUGGGCUGUGUCUCUGCGGAGCCUCCUGUGAAACGCUGUUACCACGAGCACCGCACUGGAGACCAUGAAAGGGAAGAGUUUGACAUCUCAGCUGUCUUUGCUAUAAAUAGAAAUAAAUAAAACUUAACUAA